rnacentral:rRNA from 1 species
UUUUGGACCGCAUGGUUCGCUGAUUGAAAGGCGGCUUCCGGCUGUCGCUUAUGGAUGGACUUUGCGGUCGCAUUAGCUAGUUGGUGGGGUAACGGCUCACCAAGGCGACGAUGCGUAGCCGACCUGAGAGGGUGAUCGGCCACACUGGGACUGAGACACGGCCCAGACUCCUACGGGAGGCAGCAGUAGGGAAUCUUCCGCAAUGGACGAAAGUCUGAUGGAGCAACGCCGCGUGAGUGAUGAAGGCUUUCGGGUCGUAAAGUUCUGUUGUAUAGGGAAGAACAAGUGCCGUAGUUGCAAUAGGCUGGCACCUUGACGGUACCUUGCGAGAAAGUCACGGCUAACUACGUGCCAGCAGCCGCGGUAAUACGUAGGUGGCAAGCGUUGUCCGGGAAUUAUUGGGCGUAAAGCGCGCGCAGGUGGUUUCUUAAGUCUGAUGUGAAAGCCCACCGGCUCAACCGUGGAGGGUCAUUGGAAACUGGGGAGGCUUGUAGUGCAGUAGGAGAGAAGAGUGGAAUUCCACGUGUAGCAGGUGAAAUGCGUAGAGAUGUGGACGGAACACCAGUGGCGAAGGCGAACCUCUCUUGGUCUAGUAACUGACGCUGAGGCAGUGCGAAAGCCGUGCGGUAGCAAACAGGAUUAGCAUAACGCUCGGUAGGCUCGCACGCCGUAAACGAUCGAAGGUGCCUCAGGUGUUCUAGNGAGGGUCUUCGCAGCCCUCACUGUUAGAAUGUCAUGGAAGCUAACGCCAUUUAAGUCACUCCGCCUGGGGAGUACGGUCGCAAAGUCUGAAACUCAAAGGAAAUUGACCGGGGACCCCGCACAAGCGGUGGAGCCAUGUGGUUUAAUUCGAAGCAACGCGAAGAACCCUUACCAACUCUUGACAUCCCAUCUGAUAACCGGUUGAGAGAUGUAGGCGUGUCCCCUUCGGGGAGCAGAUGGUGACAGGUGGUGCAUGGUUGUCGUCAGCUCGUGUCGUGAGAUGUUGGGUUAAGUCCCGCAACGAGCGCAACCCUUGAUCCUUAGUUGCCAGCAUUAAGUUGGGCACUCUAGGGAGACUGCCGGUGACAAACCGGAGGAAGGUGGGGAUGACGUCAAAUCAUCAUGCCCCUUAUGAGUUGGGCUACACACGUGCUACAAUGGACGGUACAAAGAGGCAGCGAAGACCGCGAGGUGGAGCCAAUCCCAUAAAGCCGUUCUCAGUUCGGAUUGCAGGCUGCAACUCGCCUGCAUGAAGCUCGGAAUCGCUAGUAAUCGCAGGAUCAGCAUACUGCGGUGAAUACGUUCCCGGGUCUUGUACACACCGCCCGUCACACCACGAGAGUUUGCAACACCCGAAGUCGGUGAGGUAACCGUAAUGGAGCCAGCCGCCGAAGGUGGGGCAGAUGAUUGGGGUGAAGUCGUAACAAGGUACGCCGUAGUCGGAAG